CUAUGGGCGGUUUGAAUGCGUGCGCGGUCGCAUUCGGAGCUGAGAGGCUGAGGGAUCCCCAGCGCCAAGGGAGUCCGGCGCUGGAGAAAGGUAAGUGCUGAAGACACACACACACACACACACACACACACACAGACGCAUACACACUAGCUAACAGACACACACAUUUACUGACAGAGACACAGUCAGCGACAGACAUACAUACACACUCACUUACAAAAC